AGAGUUUGAUCAUGGCUCAGAUUGAACGCUGGCGGCAUGCCUAACACAUGCAAGUCGAACGGCAGCGCGGGGAGCUUGCUCCCUGGCGGCGAGUGGCGGACGGGUGAGGAAUGCAUCGGAAUCUGCCCAGUCGUGGGGGAUAACCCGGGGAAACCCGGACUAAUACCGCAUACGACCUUCGGGUGAAAGCGGGGGACCGUAAGGCCUCGCGCGAUUGGAUGAGCCGAUGCCGGAUUAGCUUGUUGGCGGGGUAAUGGCCCACCAAGGCGACGAUCCGUAGCUGGUCUGAGAGGAUGAUCAGCCACACUGGGACUGAGACACGGCCCAGACUCCUACGGGAGGCAGCAGUGGGGAAUAUUGGACAAUGGGGGCAACCCUGAUCCAGCAAUGCCGCGUGUGUGAAGAAGGCCUUCGGGUUGUAAAGCACUUUUAUCGGGAACGAAACAUUGUCGGCCAAUACCCGGCAAGACUGACGGUACCCGAGGAAUAAGCACCGGCUAACUCCGUGCCAGCCGCCGCGGUAAUAC
rnacentral:rRNA from 1 species